GCAUCAUUGGUCUAGUGGUAGAAUCCAUCGUUGCCAUCUCACCUGACCUCGCUCAGGUCCCGUGACUCGAUGGGGCCCGUGUUCGAUUCACGGAUGAUGCA